rnacentral:rRNA from 1 species
GAUGAACGCUGGCGGCGUGCCUAAUACAUGCAAGUCGAGCGAACGGACGAGAAGCUUGCUUCUCUGAUGUUAGCGGCGGACGGGUGAGUAACACGUGGAUAACCUACCUAUAAGACUGGGAUAACUUCGGGAAACCGGAGCUAAUACCGGAUAAUAUUUUGAACCGCAUGGUUCAAAAGUGAAAGACGGUCUUGCUGUCACUUAUAGAUGGAUCCGCGCUGCAUUAGCUAGUUGGUAAGGUAACGGCUUACCAAGGCAACGAUGCAUAGCCGACCUGAGAGGGUGAUCGGACACACUGGAACUGAGACACGGUCCAGACUCCUACGGGAGGCAGCAGUAGGGAAUCUUCCGCAAUGGGCGAAAGCCUGACGGAGCAACGCCGCGUGAGUGAUGAAGGUCUUCGGAUCGUAAAACUCUGUUAUUAGGGAAGAACAUAUGUGUAAGUAACUGUGCACAUCUUGACGGUACCUAAUCAGAAAGCCACGGCUAACUACGUG